rnacentral:lncRNA from 1 species
CCAUAUAAAAAAAGAGUAUAUUUAAUAAAAUCAUAAUCUAAUUAUUCUUUUUAAUCUAUAAUAAUAAUAAUAAUUUAACAUUACUUUAAUGAUUGAGCGAAAAAAAUGAUAAUGAAAUUAAUAUUUAGAGUAAUGUAUAAGUGAACAUCUACUAGAAUCUCAACAUACUAUUAUGAGAUAGAUAUAAUUUUAAAAUAUACACAUUUUUUGACUAACAUAAAUAAUAAGUUAUGCAAUUAAUUGAUUUCCUUUUCUAUAUUAUUCGUAUCUCAAUCAAUUAGCCAGAGCAUUUAGUGUGUCUUAAAUUUGAAUUUCAAAAUUUGAAUUUCAAAAGAUUCACCUUUAUUUAGGUAUUUAUUUUUAUCUAUAAUUUUUUGACGUAGGAGGUUUCUUUAAGUGUUCCUUUAGAUAUUAUUAUAAUUUUGUAUGAGGAUUCUUUUAAAAAUUCGACUAUAUAUUAUUCGAUUAUAUUUGAGCAAACAUUUCACAAUAAUAUAAAUUUAUUAAAAUAUCAAUUUAAAGAUUCUACUAUAUAUUAUUCUACAAAUGUGAGUGAACAUUUAUCGGAAUCUCAUAAUAUUAUCAUAUUUCAAUGUUCAACUAAGUGUUCACGUGUCUUUUAAUCUUUAUUAUUUUGUUGUAUUCAACCAAACAUUUUAAAGAAUCUCCAUAUAAAAAAAGGGUAUCUUUAAUAAAAUCAUAAUCUAAUUAUUCUUUUUAAUCUAUAAUAAUAAUAAUAAUUUAACAUUACUUUAAUGAUUGAGCGAAAAAAAUGAUAAUGAAAUUAAUAUUUAGAGUAAUGUAUAAGUGAACAUCUACUAGAAUCUCAACAUACUAUUAUGAGAUAGAUAUAAUUUUAAAAUAUACACAUUAUUUGACUAACAUAAAUAAUAAGUUAUGCAAUUAAUUGAUUUCCUUUUCUAUAUUAUUCGUAUCUCAAUCAAUUAGCGAGAUCAUUUAGUGUGUCUUAAAUUUGAAUUUCAAAAUUUAAAUUUCAAAAGAUUCACCUUUAUUUAGGUAUUUAUUUUUAUCUAUAAUUUUUUGACGUAGGAGGUUUCUUUAAGUGUUCCUUUAGAUAUUAUUAUAAUUUUGUAUGAGGAUUCUUUUAAAAAUUCGACUAUAUAUUAUUCGAUUAUAUUUGAGCAAACAUUUCACAAUAAUAUAAAUUUAUUAAAAUAUCAAUUUAACUAUUCUACUAUAUAUUAUUCUACAAAUUCGAGUGAACAUUUAUCGGAAUCUCAUAAUAUUAUGAUAUUUUCAUGUUCAACUAAGUGUUCACGUGUCUUUUAAUCUUUAUUAUUUUGUUGUAUUCAACCAAACAUUUUUAAGAAUCUCCAUAUAAAAAAAUGGUAUC